rnacentral:lncRNA from 10 species
UGUGACCCAGGGUAGCCACUGGGAUUUAUGAAGAGGCAAAAGUGGGGAGAUUUGAGAAUUUAGGAAUGUCAGGAGUGGGCAUACACAGAGCUAUCUCUGGGCACCCUCACCCACUUUGCACAGGCUUUUGCACAGUGGAUGAUUGUGCUCCUGGAAGAGAUCCAGGGAGCACAAAGUACGAGACCUGCUUCUGCCCAAGAGGAUCAGAAACUGAGACCUAUGUGGGUCUCAGGGGAUGGUACUAAACCACUCGUGAGAAAUUCACCACCAUAAUCUCAUCACCUCCCACCAGGCCCCACCUCCAAAACUGGGGAUUAUAUUUCAACAUGAGAUGUGGGUGUGAACACAGAUUCGAACUAUAUCAUUCUUCCCAUGGCCCCUCCCAAAUCUCAUGUCUGUCUUACAUUUCAGAAUACAAAUAUGCCUUCCCAAUCAUCUCCCAAAGUCUCAACUCAUUCCAGCGUUAACUCAAAGACCAAAAUUCAAAGUCUCAUCUGAAACAAGGUGUUGCCAAAGGAGAUUAUUAUUUGAGUCAGAGGACUGGGAGAAGCAGACCUACCCUCGAUCUGGGUGGGUGUCAUCUAGUCAGCUGCCAGUGUGGCUAGAAUGAAGCAGGCAGAAGUUGGAAAGAGCAGACCUGCUGAGUCUUCUGGCCCUCACCGUUCUCCCGUGCUGGAUUCUUCUGGCCCUCAAACAUCAGACUCCACGUUCUUCAGCUUUUGGACUCAUGGACUUACACCAGUGGUGUGCCAGGGCCUCUUGA